CGCCAAAACAAAAUGUUUCACCCAGCCGAAACAACAUCUGGAAUUAUACUCCUAAAGAUGAUUUAUUCACAUUGGGGAACAAACACCCUUCUCAACUUUCUGCUGAGCAAUAUUUGGUAUAUAUAAAUUACAAAGAAUAUGAUAGACUACACAAUACUGCACCAUCAUCGUCAAAACAAGAUUCCAAACAAACAAAAUGCUGUUAUUGUUCCUGGCAAGAACCGUUUUUUUUGUUUUGAAAAUAUUGAAAGGUAUUAAGAAAAUUUGUUAAACACUGGAAAAACACAAACUUAAAGAUAGCCACGAAUAUAUUCGAAAUGAUGUAUCAUGAGAACAUUCUUUAUAUAUCUUUGUUUUAUUAUUGUCAUAUUAUGUUGAAUAGUAUAAUAAAAAACUUUGUAAU
rnacentral:lncRNA from 1 species